rnacentral:misc_RNA from 1 species
GCUGCUGCGCAAUUGAUCGACAAUGACCCAUAUCCUUGCUGAUGAGAUUUUUUUCCUUCUCUAUUUCUCUAGAUCGUCUUCUUUUUUUGUUUGAUUUCCAUGCAAAUUCUUUUAUUUCUCUAUUUGGUUGCCAAGGAGGUCAAUGAGUUUUUUUUUUUAAUGGAAAUUAAAAAAGCUUAUCUUUGCAUCUGAAGCAACCAGACGGAUGAAUUGGGGAAUUUGGUUUUGUGAAUCGUUGUCAUUUGGCUUAUGGUUUGUUUAUUUUUCUUUAACUGAAGCGAACGUGGUAACCAGAGAGAGCGAGACCGGGA